GGGGAAUAUUGGACAAUGGGCGAAAGCCUGAUCCAGCCAUGCCGCGUGAGUGAUGAAGGUCUUCGGAUUGUAAAGCUCUUUUGGCGGGGACGAUAAUGACGGUACCCGCAGAAUAAGCCCCGGCUAACUUCGUGCCAGCAGCCGCGGUAAUACGAAGGGGGCUAGCGUUGCUCGGAAUCACUGGGCGUAAAGCGCACGUAGGCGGGCUUUUAAGUCGGAGGUGAAAUCCCAGGGCUCAACCCUGGAACUGCCUUCGAUACUGAAAGUCUUGAGUCCGGAAGAGGUAAGUGGAACUCCGAGUGUAGAGGUGAAAUUCGUAGAUAUUCGGAAGAACACCAGUGGCGAAGGCGGCUUACUGGUCCGGUACUGACGCUGAGGUGCGAAAGCGUGGGGAGCAAACAGGA
rnacentral:rRNA from 1 species